rnacentral:rRNA from 1 species
UAUGCCUAGCGGCGGACGGGUGAGUAACACGUGGGUAAUCUGCCCUCAAGUGGGGAAUAACACAAAGAAAUUUGUGCUAAUACCGCAUAGAACUGAUGCUUCGCAUGGAAUGUCAGUUAAAGAUUUAUUGCUUGAGGAUGAGCCCGCGGCCCAUUAGCUAGUUGGUGAGGUAAAGGCCCACCAAGGCAACGAUGGGUAGCCGACCUGAGAGGGUGAUCGGCCACAUUGGAACUGAGACACGGUCCAGACUCCUACGGGAGGCAGCAGUGGGGAAUAUUGCACAAUGGGGGAAACCCUGAUGCAGCAACGCCGCGUGAGCGACGAAGGCCUUCGGGUUGUAAAGCUCUGUCUUCGCUGAAGAAACCUGACGGUAAGCGAGGAGGAAGCCACGGCUAACUACGUGCCAGCAGCCGCGGUAAUACGUAGGUGGCAAGCGUUGUCCGGAAUUAUUGGGCGUAAAGGGUGCGUAGGUGGUUUUUUAAGUGGGAUGUGAAAUACCUGGGCUUAACUCA